UUUAUUAUAAUGUAAUUUGGAGAAGAUCAUUUAGGGUUGAAAUUUUAUGAAAACCUAUGAGCUUCAAGAACUUGUAUUUUCAAACAUCUCCCCACAUUUGAGGCAUUCUCACCCAUUAUUUCUUUAAUCUUUCUGCCCCUUUUUCCCUCUCUUCUCAUUCUGAGACUCUAGUAAGACAGGUUUUUUUUCACUCUUUGUCAUUUUUUUUGUCAUUGUUCUCUCCUGUCUAGAUUAUUUCAAGUGAUCUGUCUUCUACUUUGCGAAUUAUUUCUGAUUGAUCCAGUCUACUAUUGAUAUUCUGUAUUGCAUUUUUCAUUUUAUAUAUCCUAUUCUGUUUAGUUCUUUCUUAUGAUUCCUAUCUCUGGUAAACUCACUCUGUUCAUGUAUUGCUUUUCUUACUUUGUUGAAUUAUCUUUAAUGUGUUAUUUUGUAGUUCACUGAGUUUUCUUAAAACACAUACUUUUAAUUCUUUAUUGUGCAAAUCAUAGAUCUUCAUUUCUUUGUUGGUCAGUUACUGGAAAAAUUACAGUUUUCCUUCGGUGGUAUCAUGUUUCCUUGAUUUUUCGUGUCCUUGAAGUUGAAGUCUUCAUACUUGAAUAUUCAUCUCUUCUAAUCUUUACUGACUGGCUUUCCUUUUAGUUAUGUUAGGGAAUUCUGAGGCUUUCUUCUAUCUUUCUUGUGAACACACCUUCUCUAUACUUCUUGGUCCCUCUGAGGUGGGGGGGAUUCGGGUUUGUAUAUCUUCCUCUUGAUCCUGCAAAACUAGAAUGCUCUAGUUUGUGUCCUUUCUCCUCAUGCUGCAGAGUUGGGCUGGCUCUCUGCGUUUGUCCAGUUGUUAUCUGAAAGGCUUACUUUCACUGCCAGCAGAGUGUGCACAGGGGGACAGCCACAGGACAGAGGGUGUGCAGGGGCUGCACGUGGAGCAUGAAGGGUGCCUCUGGGCCUGCUGGGGGGAAUCCACAGGUGCAGUGUCUUCAGCAACUCACUGGCGGGCUUACUGAUGGAUUCCACGAAGUGGUUAUUAGGAUCUGCGUCCUUUUGAUGUGUUCCGUUCCGAGGCCUGGUUGCUGUUCUCCCAUCGGUCCACUGCCCCCAACUUGUGCAGUAUAUGACUCAGUAUUCUGGAUGGUAUAAGAUUUGUGUCUCUUCUCAGUGUCCUACAUAGCUGGGGAAGCUGGGUGCUCACUAACACACUCUCACUUUCCCCUCUGGGAGAAAUCACAGAGAAGUUCUCUCAGGACACUGAGCUGUGCCCCCUGGGCGGAGUGAGCUACGAAAUUGAAACCAUUUGUCUUACCCUCUUCAGUGCAUCCAGUAUUUCAUUUUUAGUGUUUUUCCAGUAGUGCUGGCAUUUCUCAGUUGGACUCAGCUUCCACAAAGGCACUCUUGUUCAUAGGCAAUUGUCAAAAUCCAUGUUUUUUUGGAGAGAGAAUGGUAGAAUGCUCUUAUCCUGCCAUGAUGAUGAUAUCACACAUAAUCAAAAAUUCUUAAAAAGUCAGUACUGUCAAUUUUAUUAUACAAAAAACAAGUUUCUUGGAAAAUAUCAACUGAAAUUAUGUCAGGAAGAAAUAUAAAUUCAUAGUAUACCAGUAACCAUUACAUAAGGUGAAGUAUUUGCAAAUCAUCCUUGAAAAAUGAAAAAGUCCAGUAGCUUCUAAGUCAUUUUUUGGCAAGGAUACGUGAAGGAAUUAUGCCAGUUUGUCAACUUAUUCAGAAGAGAGUAAAAGGGAAAACUACCCACCUUCUUUAAUGAGGUUCUUGUUUGUAUUCUUCGUAUGGAAGUGUUUCUUUGGAGCAUGAUUACAGGUCAGAAAAUUUCCACUUACCUCUUGGAAACUAAGCACAUGACAGAGAACUAAAAACCUAUGUCAAGUUAAAUUCCAAGUGACUGGAAGACAGAAAAAUCUGAUACAUUCCAAUCUGUCUGCAAAUUUUUUCAACAGCUAGUGAGAGACCACAACCACUAUAAGAUGCUCUUUUUCAUAAGGAUCUUUUGUUAUUGAGAAGAGCAGAAAGUGCUAAGGGGCAUAGUGUUAGUGGCAGAUGUCAAAAAUUGGCAAGACAUAUUUCCCCCCAGAAAAUGAGGACCCUGUCCUGGGAAGGAAUAGUUGUGAUUGGGAGCUUACUUCGACACAGAAGGCUUACAUGGGGCAGGGGGUAAAAGACAGCUGAGUCAGUGAGUGCUGAGGAACAAAAGGUGGCAGAAUUCAAAGUACAGGCAAAGAUCCACCCAGUAAAAUGAGUGGCUUACCUUGAGAUACUGAUUGUAUUUCUUGGUGGCAGUGACUCCUGAAGAAAUCAAGGGGAGUAAAGAUUUAAUGGAAGAAGUCCACCUGAGAGAUAAAGGAGGUAUGGCUACACAGUGGUGUCAUAUUGUAAAGAAAUGGCCAGUUUUCAUAACAAUAAAAAAUUGAACCACUGAGCUAUGUAGUCUCUUGCUUAUAGCCACUUAACUAGUUCAGGAAAAAUGGGUGCUGUUCAAAUACGAGCAAAAUCAGAGCAAUAUCAACAAAGAAUUUAACACAUUGUCUGUACAUAUCUAGUGCAAGGAAAUAAUUUGCAAAUGAGAGCAACUGUUCCUACAGAAAAGUUUUUCCUAGGGAAAACCUACCGGAAAAAUUUUCCCGGAAGGUUUGGCGAAAUUAUAAAAAUCACUCUAGUAGGGAUAAUGAAAUACUUGCAGGAAAGACCAUAAGGCUAAGUAUGAGAAUUUAGAGAUGGCCAGCAAAUAGGAAAGGUGGCAUGGCAUAUGUCAAAUCUUGCUUAGGAACAUGGAAGCAAGAUUUUUUUUCUCUUUAAUUUUUUUCCAAAUUCAGCUGUAUAUAAAAUAGCAAAAGUCAGGUUGUAGGAAUGGGUGGUUAAGCCAUAGGGGAAGUAGAAAUUAAUUGAAAACCAUCACAGCAAUGGUGUAAAGUAGAAAGAGUGUCACUAAUGCCAUAGACAUUACUUGAUAUUCAUCAUUUAUGGUUUUAGAAAGUUAAACUGUAGGGGCGCCUGGGUGGCUCAGUCGGUUAAAUGUCCGGCUUCAGCUCAGGUCAUGAUCUCACAGUCUGUGAGUUCGAGCCCCGCUUCGGGCUCUGUGCUGACAGCUCAGAGCCUGGAGCCGGCUUUGGACUCUAUGUCUCCCUCUCUCUCUGCCCCUCCCCUGCUCAUGCUUUGUCUCUCUCUGUCUCAAAAAUACAUAAAAGCAUUAAAAAAAAAAAAGUUAAACUAUAAAUACAAGUGAACUUUCUUAACUAGGUAAAGGAUGUCUUAAAAUCUCUAGCAAAUAUCUUAUGUAGUGAUACUUUAAAAUAAAGCCUAUAAUUACCUACUAUUCAUCAUUUUAUUAGUGGUCUUAGUCAAAGCUUAAGAACAGAAAAAAGAAAUACAGGGAGUAAAUAAAUCUUGUCAUAUUUACUUAUGACUUUCCACAUGGAAAAUUCACCAUUUAUGGAGAACCAAUAAUACAAUUAUUACUAGAGUUGGAAGAGUUAAUGUCCAAUAAUCAUUAGGAAUUUUAUACAGGAAGCAAUUUGAUAUAUAAUUGAAAAUAAAAUCUUUAACAACAGGAAGAAAAAAUGUGUGGUACUUAAAUCUAACAAAAGAUGUAUAAAAUUUGUAAAUAGAGUAUCAAAAUUGAAACUAUAUACAUGUAUAUAUUUAUAGCUAAUUAUUGCUUUCUGCCUUUUGUCUUCGUGUAGUAUUCCCUCAUCCUUCUAUUUUUAUUUUCAACAAAUUAGUGGUCUUUAUGACUGAGUGGGAUGAAUAGGACAGAUUAAGAAGACCAGGCACAUCACCUUAUAGCAAACGUCUUCUGCAAUAAUAUCUAGAGUCUAGAUAUUCAAACAGAACCCCUGUAACCUUCUAGAACAUACUUAAAAAUACCUCUAUAAUAAACGGAGAGAAUACAAAUGUGGGUUUUUUAAAGUUUAAUAUUUGGUCACUUUUGAUAACUGAGUCAUAAUGGAUGAAUUACACUCUAAUAUAAUUGGAUACUAGAGAUGAUCUCAAUCACCUUAUUAAGUUUAAAAGUGUUGUGGGUUUUUUGCUCAGGCUAGUUUUCAAGUUGCUUCAUUCAGUAAAGCUACCCAGGCGCCCCCCAAUCUUACCCAAUUCUUAAGAUACCCUUGCAAAGUUAAGAGUCUACCCAAAAUGGCUAAUCAUGUAUUCAGAUUCUCAAACAUUUGUCUAUGCAAAAUAACCACUAUCCUGCUUUCCUUUGGGAAAGAGAACAUGUAUUUUGGUAAUCUUUGGCAAAAUAUUGUCAUCUGAUGUAUAGAAACUCUGAUGAAAGCCCUGGAUUGCACAGGAAAGGAAAGCUCCUAAAAUAAAAAUGAUGAAUUAGAUUAGAGCAGACCCCUCGUGUAAUACCAAAGGUGCAGAAUGUGAAUAGAGAGAAAAAAGUUUGUUAAAGAAGCUCUCUGUCCAUAUAGCCACUUCUUAGUAUAGAACAAGUCUGUGUAUAGUGAGCACUUGUGUAUUGAACCUCUGCAGAAGUACCUCCCAAGGGAUUACUUAGUGUAACAUAUCUUUAGUUUGAUGGACAAUGUUCUAUGUUCUAUGGCUUCUGCUGUUUUUGUUGUUGUUGUUGUCUUUUUCAUUAUUAUAUUUACCUUAUUGUAUAUGACUCACAGGUAGGCUAAGAAUGAAGUUUUUGCAGGGGAAAAGAAGCUGUUCAUGGUGUUUUAGAGGGUAUGAGACAAAAUUUGCAAUUUCCUUAUAUAGAGAGAGAUAUGCAAAUAUUUAAAAAGUAAAUAUUAGAGCUUCCUGAUUCCGAAUUGAAAAAAGUAGGGAAAGGAGUAUUCAUAAGUUCUUCCUGAUCUUGAAAGAAAGUGCUGUGAACUCCUGUUUGUACGUGAUGAUGAUUGUUUAUAGAGCAGAGUAAGUUCUGGUUCUGGUUUUACUCCGUUUUCCCUUCCUCCACCCUGCAAAGGAAAAGCAAUGAUAGACAAUAAGCAUAUACAUUACCUGUUUUAUGAUGAGUUUAAAGUGGAAUGGUUGAGUAAAAUAUUGAACUACACUGGUACAUAACUUUAAGGAGUAUAAUAUAGGUCUAUAGUUUAUGGUUUUCAGAAAUAAAUGUUGACUUGGAAUAUCAAAAUGAGUUAAAAUGUUAUGCUUUAUAGCUCAUAGUGCAGAUCUUCUUGGCAACCUAAAGCUCUUUAUAGAUGGCUGUCAUUCCAAAGCAGAAAUAGAAGUGUGAUGAGUAGUUCUAUUGAUUGCAUAUACAAAGAAAAAUAUCCUAAGAAUUUGCAAUUAAAAACAUGAAAGAUAAACAUCAUUUAAAAAAAAUAUAAUAACCAGACUUUAUUAUCACAGUAAAUCUUGGUAGGAGAGAAGCUGUUUUGUGCCUUUUAACACUGAUGCUCUGUAUUAUAAGAUGAUUCACAUACCUUAAUGUGUCUUCUGUCUCAAAGAAAUUAUAUCAGUUUAAUUAUGUAAGUUUUGUGAAAAACUUAAGCUUGAAAUUAAUAUAAAUUAUUAUACAGUUUUCACAUUCUUGAAGAGUUGUUUGGUGUCUGCACAUUGUGUUGUAUCAGUAGAAACGUAUUUCUUAAGUGCAUUCAAAACUGCAAAGCAGCUCUGACCUCAGAAUGAGCACCUUUACAAAUUUAUUUCAAUAAAAUUAUAUAACUUCUAAUAUUAUGCAGAUACUGUCUCUGCGGUUUAUUACUUUGUUCUCCUUACAAGUGAGAAGCAAAUAAGUGCUGCUAAUAUUUUUUUUUCCAGUGAAGCAUCUGUUGUUUGAAGACGAUUCUAAACAUAAAUAGUUUGAGUCAUUUGAAGAUGUGUAUGUCUGUUUGCAAAUAGAUAGUUUCUAUAUAUAGUCCCAUGUAUACUUUUGUAUAGGAGAUUUGGUAACAAUAUAAUGAAAAGAAUUAAUAUAUUUUUAGUGUAUAUUUUUCCUAAUUUUCUAUAAUGAAGACCGACAAUGCCUUCCAUAACUCAAAAGAGUAUCUUAAAACUACUCAGACAUGGAUGGACCUCCUUUUUCUUUCUUUCUUUUUCUUAUUUUCUUCCCCCUCUUCCUCUUCCUCCUCCUUUUUUUUUUUUUUUUUUUUUGAUGUUGUGUGGUUGCCUGAGUCUUUUGCUUAUUAUAAAGUCAUAAUUAAAUAAGCUUCACUAUGAAGGUCCAAUACUUGGAAUGACUGCCUAGUUUCUGUAUUCCAUUCCAUGCUAAUGGUAUGCCACUCAGUAGUGGUUAUAAGUAAUAUUUAUUGAGACAGUGAUCCUCAAUGUAGGAUUCCUUUCCAUGAAAUAAAAUAUAUUUAGUCUUAAGCAAAAUUACACAGAUGCUCUUUUCACAGAAAUUUAUGGCAUUUCUAGGCCAUGGCUAGGACUACUGCAUUUUCUUUUCUUUUCUUUCUUUUUUUUGGGGAAACUUAACUAAUUUACAUUUCAUUCAGUUUUAGAAUAAAUAUUUAUGUUUCAGUAUAUUCACCUCUUCUCUGUUAAUUCAUGUUUAGCCGUUUAUUGACCAUUCAACAAGAGCUUGAAAGCCUACUAUGUAUUAAGAACUGUGAAGAACCAUGUGGAUAUAAAAUGAUAGGACAAGGGGCACCUGGGUGGCACAGUCAUUUGAGCAUCCAACUUCUGCUCAGGUUGUGAUCUCAUAGCUUGUGAGUUUGAGCCCCACAUCGGGCUCUUUGCUGUCAAUGCGGAGCCCAGUUCAGAUCUGGUGUCCCCCUCUCUCUCUGCCACUUCCCUGCUCAUAGUCGUCCCCCACCCCUGCAAAAAAUAAAUAAAUAAAUAAAUAAAUAAAUAAAAGGACAAGAUAAAAAAGAUUAGGAUAUAGUUCUUGCCCCUAGAGACCUUACUUGUCUAAUGAUGGAGGAGAAUCAACAGGAUAUAAAUGCUCUGACUAAAAUGUGUCCAAAAUCUUGGUUUUCUAAGAUGGUACUAUUUUUUUCUUUUUUUGGCUCUCCAGGAAAAUGUGGCAUCCAAAAUGCUUUCCAAAGGGACUACCAAGUUUUCUUUGAUUAUUGAACUGCAGCAAAUAUCUGAGUAGCUUUUUUACUGUUUCAGAACGUUAGCCUUUUUUUAAAUUUUUAUUUGAGAGAGAGAGAGAGAGAGAGCGCGCGCACACAGAUGCUAGUGGGGGAAGGGCAAAGAUAGAGGGAGAGAGAGAAUCCCAAGCAGGUCCACACUGUCAAUGUGGAGCCCGACACAGGGGUCGAACCCAUGAACUGUGAGAUCAUGACCUGAGCUGAAAUCAAGAGUGGUUACUUAACUGACUGAGCCACCCAGGUGCCCCUCAGAGUGUUACUUUUUAGUCUCACUUUUGGCUUGAAGUCAGCCAAUGCUCAAAAAAAAAAAAAAAAAAAAAAAAGGCUUCCGAUAUUAUAUGAAAGUUUGGACACCUGAAUGUACUGUUGAUUAUACUUUAUUUUACUAUAUUAUACUUGCAUUCAGUUUUUUCCUUCCAUUUCAGUGUCUGAUCACUCCAGUUUGUUACUGUGUUUCAUGGCUAUUUUGAUGUUAAAGAAGUACAGAAGACGAAAACUUUUGAUACUAACAGAUAGUCUGGCUUGUUAGAUGAAGCGCCAACCAAAACAUGGGUCUAUAGGCUAUUCAUCUAUUGCUGAAUAUGAAAUUAGAUGGCUUUCAAUUUAGUAAGUUGGUCAAAUCUGCCUUCUCAGGUAACUGUUUAUAUUUCCAUGGGGUAUUAAAUAUUCUUACGUAUUACAAAAGGAUCCUCUCUGACAGUUGUGAGUAUUGUGGGUGAGUGUGUGUAUUAUAAGCCAAAGGAAAACAAACCAUAGUGUGGGAGAUGCAGGAGAGAAGCAUCAAAGGAAAAGACUUCAAAAGGGAAGGGCUGGAGAAGGUGGAAGGCCUUAGGACAUGUUUACACAGCUGAACGAGGCUGAUGCUCGUAAGGAACACCUAGAGCCAUUAACAUUUGUCCAGGGCUGGAUCCUCCUUCGCACCUGACCCUUCCUACUGUUAUAGAAACCAUUGACUCAAAAUUCAACCUUGAAAAGCUAAACCAUUAGACUCAUUAACACACUUGCUUAGCUGACUUUAUGCACGUAGUCUUUAGCAAUUAUCCUAAUAAAAAGAAGCUUCAUUCUGGAGUCGGGGCCUCAUUCUGACUUGAGCAUGAGGAUCUUCACUUAACUUUGUUUGUGGACUCAUCUUUUGCGAGUCUGGCCAUACUUCCAGCAACACCACAGGAUAUUUAUAUGCCAAGUAAAUCAAAAUUUGACUUUUGCUUUUGGGUGACAAAAGUAGCUUAAUGCAGGCCAGUGCUUCUAUUUAAAAUAAUUUAUAAAGCUAACUAAAAUAAACGAAUCAUCUCUUUGAUUCAUGGAGAGCUACUUAGGUAAUGAGAACUAAAGGGUCUCAGACUUUGAUAGGGAAGGAACCUUGGACCAGUCAUCCUGCCAGGGCAGCCCUGGCACCAAGCACCCUAUGGACUUCACCUGGCACAUGCCCAUUCCAGCUCAGGCUGUCCCUCCAGGGGAUCUUCAGUGCAGAGGGCAGCCCAAGAGUCCCCGUCUGCACCUGUUCCUGCUGGCCAGUCAAAGCCAUCAGGCACGUGCAGUCUACAAAGUUCCUACAGGAGACCCUCCUUCAAAAUUCAGAGAGAUAGCUGGGCAUAAUUCAUAAAAGUAGAUACAAAGUCAAGUAAAGUGAGAGGAGUAUGUUUCAAACAAAAGAACAAGGUAAAACCUCAGAAAAAGAACUAAAACAAAAUGGAGAUGUACAAUCCAUCUGGUAAAGAGUUUAAAGUAAUACUCGUAAAGAUGCGCAUCAAAGAAGAGAGAGUGAACUUAGAACUUCAACAAAGAGAAAUAUAAAAAAGAACCGGUCAGAACUGAAGAAAACAGCUGAAAUGAAAAAUACACUAGAGGGAAUAAAAAGCAGAUUAGAGGUCAGAAGGGGGGAGUGGCAGGAUAUAUUUAAAGUGCUGAAAGGGAAAAACUUACUCUACCCAGCAUGGUUGUCAUUCAGAAUUGAAAGAGAUAAAGCACUUCCUAGGCUCAUGGUCUCAGGGUUUUUGAGUUCGAGCCCCGCAUCGGGCUCUGUGCUGACAGCUCAGAGCCUGGAGCCUGAUUCGGAUUCUGUGUCUCCCUCUCUCUGCCCCUCCCCUUCUCAUGCUCUGUCUCUCUCUCUCAAAAAUAAAUAUUAAAAAAAAAAAUUAAAAAAGAGCUUCCUAGAUAAGCAAAGGGUAAAGGAGCUCAUCACCACUAAACAAGCCAUGUGAAAAAUGUUGAAGGGUUUCUUUAAGUGGAAAAGAAAAGACCAUAACCAGAAAUAAGAGCAUAUUAUGAAAGAAAAAUGUCACUUCUACAGGCAAAUAUACAGUCAAGACAAUAAAUGAACCACUUAAAAAGUUAGUUGAAGGUUAAAAGACAAAAAUAGUAAGAUCUAUUACAACUACAACAACUAGUUAAGGGACACACAAAAUAAAAAUGUCAAGAUGACAAAAACAAAACAUGGAGAAGAGGGGAGUAAAGAAAUUAUCAGCUUAAAAUAGACUGGUGUGUAUAUAUGUAUAUAUAAUCUCAAUGUAUAUGAAACUCAUGUAACCAGAAACCUACAACAGAUACACUAAAAUAAAAAGAACCAACGCAUAACACUGAAGGAAACCAUCAGUUGAUAAAGGAAGUGACCAAGAGAAGAAACAGAGAACUACAGAAACAACCACAACACUAUUAACAAAAUGGCAGUAAGAACACACCUAUCAAUAAUUACUUUAAAUAUAAAUAGACUACUCUAAUCAAAAGACAUAGGAUAACAGAAUGGAUAAAAACAAACAAACAAACAAAAAACCAAGACCCAUUUAUAUGCUGCCUACAGGAGACUCACUUCAGAUCUAAAGACACAGAAUGAAAAUGAAGGAUUAGAAAAAGAUAUGCCAUAGAAAUAAAGAGAAAGCUAGUGUAACAAUACUCAUAUCAGACAAAAUAUACUUUAAAACAAAGACUGUAAAAAAGACUGUAAAAAAAGACAAAGAAGGGCAUUACAUAAUGAUAAAAGGGUCACUUCAAGAAGAGGAUAUAACAACUGUAAAUAUAUAUUCAACAUAGAGUCACUGAAAUGUAUAAUGCAAAUAUUAUCAGACAUAAUAGAAAUUGACAGUAAUAUGAUACUAAGGGACUUUAAUGCCCUACCUAUAUCAAUGGGUAGGUCAUCUCGAUAGAAAAUCAAUAAGGAAACUUUGGCCUUGAUUGACAGACCAGAAGGGCUUAAUAGACAUGUACAGAAUAUUUCAUCUAAAAACUACAGAAUACAUUUUCUUUUCAAGUACACACAGAACAGUCUGCAGAUCACAUUAGGCCACAAAAGAAGUAUAAAAUUCAAAAAUGAAAUCAUCAGGUAUUAUUUUUGACCACAAUGGGAUAUCUAGAAGUUAGUUACAAGAAGAAAACUGAAAAAAACACAACACUUGGACACUAAAUGAUGAAGAAAUCAAAGAGGAAAUAAAAUCACACCAUGAGACAAAUGGAAACAAAGCUUUCCAAAACCUACUGGAAGCACCAAAAGCCACUGUAAGAGGGAAAUUCAUGCCACCACAGGCCUAUUUAAGAAAUAAGAAAAAUCUGAAACAUUCUUAACUUUAAACCUAAAAGAACUGAGAAAGACGAGCAAACAAAGCACAAUGUUAGUGGAAGGAAGGAAAUGAUGAUCAGAGUGGAUUAAAUGAAAUAAAGAUUUAAAAACUACAAAAAAGGUCAAUGACACUAAAAAGUAAAUAAAACUAGGGGCAACUGGGUAGUUCAGUUGGUUGAACAUCAACUCUUGGUUUCAGCUCAGGUCAUGAUCUCACGGUUUCAUGAGUUUGAACCCCGUGUUUGACUCCACGGACAGUGUGGAACCUGCUUGGGAUUCUCUCCAUCUCUCUCUCCUGCCCCUCCCCAGCUUGCUCUCUCUCAAAACAAAUAAAACAUAAAAAUAAAAUAAAAAAAAAAAAACAAACUAAAAGUGUCUUUGAGAAGAUCAACAAAAUUGAUAAACAUUUAUUUAGACUCAAAGAAAAAGAGAUUGACCAAAUAAAUCAGAAAUAAAAGAGAAGUUGUAACUGACACCACAGAAGUACAAAUGAUCAUAAGAGAUUACUACACACAAUCAUAUGCUAAUAAACUGAACAAUUUAUAAGAAAUGGAUAAAUUCCUAGAAAUUCCAUCACUCUUUGAAGACUGAAUCGUGAAGAAAUAGAAAAUCUGAAUAAAAAAAAAUUAAAAAAAAAAUCUGAAUAGACGGAUUACAAGUAAUGAAAUUGAAGUAGUAAUUUUAAAACUCUCAAAAAACAAAACUCGAGGACCAGAUGGCUUCACAGGUGAAUUCUACCCAAAUAUUUAAAGAAGAGUUAGGACCUGUGCUUCUCAAAUUAUUCCAAAAAAUUGAAGAGCAAGGAAAGCCUCCAAAUUCAUUCUGUGAGGGCAGCAUUACCAUGAUACUGAAACCAGACAAAGACAUUACAAAGAAAAGGAAACUAUAGGUCGUCUCUCAUGAAUAUAGAUGCAAAAAUCCUCUAUGAAAAUUAGCAAACCAAGUUCAACAAUACAUUUAAAAGUGUUGUACAUCACAGUUGGAAGUGUGAAUUAUGCAGGGAAGCAAGGAUGCUCAACAUAUGCAAAACAGUUAAUGUGAUAUUUAUAACACAUUCACAAGAGAAGGGGUGAAGCCCAUGUGGUCAUCUCAGUAGAUGCAGAAAAAGCACUUUAAAGGGCAACAUUCUUUCAUGAUAAAAACUCAGCAAAGUUGGUUUCAAGGGAACAUAUUUCAACAUAAUAAAGUCUAUAUAUGACAAACCCACAGCUAACAUCAUAGUAGUAAAAACAUGAAAGAUUUUUCCUCAAAGAUGACAAAGAAGACAGAGAUGCCACUCUUGCCACUUUCAUUCAAUGAAGUAUUGGAAAUGCUAGCCACAGCAAUUAGCCAAGAUAAAUAAAAGUAAAGAAAUAAAACUAUCAUUUGAGUUGAUACAAUACUGUAUGCAGAAAAUCUUAAAGCAUCCACCAAAAAACUAUUAGAACUAAUGAAUGAAUUCAGUAAAGUCCUAGGAUAAAGUUAGUGUACAGAAAUUGUCAUAUUUCCAUACACUAAUAAUGAGCUACAGAAAUAGAAAUUAAGGAAAAAAAUCCCAUUUAUAAUUGCAUUAGAGAGAAUAAAAUACCUAGGAUAAAAAUUAACCAACAUGGUAAUUCUGAGGACUAUUUAAGACGUUGAUGAAGGAAUUGUGGAAGACACAAAUAAAUGUAAAGAUAUUCUGUGCUUAUUGAAUAGAAGAAUUAAUUUUUCUAAGAUGCCCAUACUUACCCAAAGCAGUCUACACAGUGCAAUUCCUAUGAAAAUACCAAUGGCAUUUUUCACAGAACUAGAACAAAGCAUCCUAAAAUUUCUAUUGAAUCACAAAAAACCAUGAAUAACCAAGAUAUUGGCAUAAAAACAGGUGCAUAAACCAGUGGAAUAGAACACAGAGCCCAGUAAAUAAUCCACACAUAAAUGGUCAAUUAAUCUAUGUAUGAAGGAGGCAAGAAUGUACAGUGGGGAAAAGACAGUCUCUUCAGCAAGUGGUCUGGGAAAACUGGGCAGCUACACAAAAGAAUGAAACUGGAAGACGUUCUUACACCAUACACAAAAAUAAACUCAAAAUGGAUUGAAAACUUCAAUGUAAGAUCUGAAACCAUAAAACUCCUAGAAGAAAUCAUAGGCAGUAAGGUGUUGGACAUCAGUCUGAGCAAAUUUUUUGGAUCUGUCUUUUCAAGCAAGGGAAGCAAAAUAAACAAUUAAAAUUAAAUUAAAAUAAACAAAUGGGAUUUCAGCCUUUUUUCUGCACAGCAGAGGAAACUAGUAGCAAAAUAAGAAGGCAACCUACUGAAUGGGAGAAGUUAUUUGCUAAUCAUUUACCUGAUAAGGGCUUAAUAUCCUAAAUAUAUGAUGAUCUUACACAAGUUAAUAUCAAGAAAACAAUCCAAUUAAAAAAUGGGUGGAGGAC